GGUCUAUUAGCUCAGUUGAUUAGAGUGUCGUGCUAAUUACACGAAGGUCUCAGGUUCAAAAUUUGCAUGGGCUA
rnacentral:tRNA from 1 species